UGUACAGUAUUAACUGGUCAGUGACACCAACCACUGAUUCUAAAAUUAGUCUCUCAUUGUUUUGAUACAUUUUGUCACUGAGGGAUGUGACUGUUACAGGCAGUGGGAUAGAUACUGGCUGUAGAUCAAGAAGUCAGAAGUGAGUGAGACUGUCUCUGUGAUAGAAGAACUUCAUGGAUCUCAAGUUAUUUCCUCAGCAAACAGGAUAUGUGUAACACUGCUGCUAAAGUCCAGGGCAAAGGUGCACCACAGCAUGGCCUCUCCCUCAGAUGUCAAAUAAUGCCAGGGUUACACCUUUUUCAGAGUGUCUUCACUCAUCAUGGUAUCCAUCCUACAUAUCACCAGCUCUCUGUGAUGCAGUGCUAGCCUCACCACACCAGCAAAGGAUAUGUGACUUUUCACAAGCUGAGUUAGAAAUAAUCCCCAUCGUACUUGAUAAUGGAAAAAGAAAAAAUGGAAAAUAAAAGAAUGACUGAGUUCAUUCAGCCUUACAAGCUUGAGUGACACAUUACUUGAAGACACCAUGAUGGAACAAGUCACACAUCUGCCAGCACAAGUUUCUGGAUUUAAUCUCCAUGCUGUAGCUGCUUUUCUGGGCAAGAAGAUCAGAGGCUAAAAAGAGUGCUUGACUUCCUUUGAUGACACUGUGCAACGUAACACAGCCAGUCACCGCAGUAUAGUGUCAUCAAAGGCUGUCAUUGACUCACAUCAGAUAAUGCAUGAAAUGUUAAACAAUUGGUGAUAAAUAUCAAGGUGUUGGUCAUCAUUACUUAUGAAUCUAAAAGCUGCAUUCAGUGUUCCUGUACAAAAAAUAAAUAAAUAGAAUUAAAUAAGAUAGAAUAAAUAAAAAGUUAAAACUUCAGGUGCCUUGUUGGAUGCCAAGGUGCUGACCAAGUACAUGGCAGUACAUGGCAGCCUUUAAUGACACGGUGCAGGGGCAGCACUGGAUGGCUGGCCGCUGCUGCUCCGUGUUGUCAGAGGAUGCUAUACUCUCACCUCAGCCACCACACUGCGGCUUCAUGUACCAUUGACAAUGAAUUAAUGAUCAUUUCUCUAUA
rnacentral:lncRNA from 1 species